rnacentral:rRNA from 1 species
AGUGAACGCUGGCGGUAGGCCUAACACAUGCAAGUCGAACGGCAGCACAGUAAGAGCUUGCUCUUACGGGUGGCGAGUGGCGGAUGGGUGAGGAAUACAUCGGAAUCUACUUUUUCGUGGGGGAUAACGUAGGGAAACAUACGCUAAUACCGCAUACGACCUACGGGUGAAAGCAGCGGAUCUUCGGACCUUGCGCGAGUGUAUGAGCCGAUGUCGGAUUAGCUAGUUGGUGGGGUAAAGGCCCACCAAGGCGACGAUCCGUAGCUGGUCUGAGAGGAUGAUCAGCCACACUGGAACUGAGACACGGUCCAGACUCCUACGGGAGGCAGCAGUGGGGAAUAUUGGACAAUGGGCGCAAGCCUGAUCCAGCCAUGCCGCGUGUGUGAAGAAGGCCUUCGGGUUGUAAAGCCCUUUUGUUGGGGAAGAAGAGCAGCAGGUUAAUACCCCGCUGUUCUGACGGUACCCAAAGAAUAAGCACCGGCUAACUUCGUG